UACGUAGGGUGCAAGCGUUGUCCGGAAUUAUUGGGCGUAAAGAGCUCGUAGGCGGUUUGUCGCGUCGAAUGUGAAAACCCGGGGCUCAACCCCGGGCCUGCAUUCGAUACGGGCAGACUAGAGUUCGGUAGGGGAGUCUGGAAUUCCUGGUGUAGCGGUGAAAUGCGCAGAUAUCAGGAGGAACACCGGUGGCGAAGGCGGGACUCUGGGCCGAUACUGACGCUGAGGAGCGAAAGCGUGGGGGACGAACAGG
rnacentral:rRNA from 1 species